CUGUGAGCUCAUUCAGCCUCUCCGAAAACUGCGCACUGCACAUCUUGGCCAUUGGAUGGGAAUGCGGUCUGUUGGCCUGCUCUUGCGUAUCUUUCCAAAAUGUGAGCUGGGUGGAACUACCCCAGACCACAGAGGACUGGACCUGCUUCCUGCUUCCCUUCGCUGACACUGAGGAAAGAGCUGAAGAUCCUCAGUGUAGCCCUUCAAUGGCCCGGCUUUGAUGCCUUCCUUCCUGCACCAGACGAGCUUGCUGCCUGCAGCAGCUACCUGCCAAACCUUUGAAUCCCAUCUCGCCGUUGUGGUCACGAACACACGUGCCCUGAAAAUCUUCUCGUGUAUAGUAUACUCCCCUCAGGCCAGCAUCAGACAGUGUGUGGUUCAAAGCCUGAUCCUUUUAUGUGUGAGAGCAGAAAGGGCACGUGUCACGUCCAUAUUGAAGGAUGGCUGGCCACCCCAUUGUUGGGUGUUGAAGUGGUUUUGCUUUUCUCUGCUUUUCCUUGGAGACAGUCCCAUGUAUCCCAGGCUGGCCUUAAACGUGACAGGUGGACGAGAACGGUCUUGAACAUCUGAUCCUCGUGUCUCCACCUCCCGAGUGCUGAGACCAUGGCAUGUACCACUGGCAGUGCUGGGGAUAGAACCCACAGCUUCACGAAUUCAUGCUAGGCAAGCGCUGAGUUACAUCCCCCGCCUCUGUAUUUAUGUACAGUUGUAAGAAAUGUUAUAAAAUGU